UGAGUCAUUAAACAAUAAGUG
rnacentral:piRNA from 1 species